rnacentral:rRNA from 1 species
UACGUAGGGGGCAAGCGUUGUCCGGAAUCACUGGGCGUAAAGGGCUCGCAGGCGGAACUGCCAGUCAGUUGUAAAAGGUAGUGGCUUAACUACUGUAUGGAUUUGAAACUGCUGAUCUUGAGAAGCGGAGAGGUAAGUGGAAUUUCUAGUGUAGCGGUGAAAUGCGUAGAUAUUAGGAAGAACACCAGUGGCGAAGGCGACUUUCUGGACUUUAACUGACACUGAGGCGCGAAAGCGUGAGUAGCAAACAGG